rnacentral:rRNA from 1 species
UAAAACUCAAAUGAAUUGACGGGGGCCCGCACAAGCGGUGGAGCAUGUGGUUUAAUUCGAUGCAACGCGAAGAACCUUACCUACUCUUGACAUCCAGAGAACUUAGCAGAGAUGCUUUGGUGCCUUCGGGAACUCUGAGACAGGUGCUGCAUGGCUGUCGUCAGCUCGUGUUGUGAAAUGUUGGGUUAAGUCCCGCAACGAGCGCAACCCUUAUCCUUUGUUGCCAGCGGUCCGGCCGGGAACUCAAAGGAGACUGCCAGUGAUAAACUGGAGGAAGGUGGGGAUGACGUCAAGUCAUCAUGGCCCUUACGAGUAGGGCUACACACGUGCUACAAUGGCGCAUACAAAGAGAAGCGACCUCGCGAGAGCAAGCGGACCUCAUAAAGUGCGUCGUAGUCCGGAUUGGAGUCUGCAACUCGACUCCAUGAAGUCGGAAUCGCUAGUAAUCGUAGAUCAGAAUGCUACGGUGAAUACGUUCCCGGGCCUUGUACACAC